UGGUGGAGUGAUUUGUCUGGUUAAUUCCGAUAACGAACGAGACCUUAACCUGCUAAAUAGCCAGGCCGGCUUUUGCUGGUCGCCGGCUUCUUAGAGGGACUGUCAGCGUGUAGCUGACGGAAGUUUGAGGCAAUAACA
rnacentral:rRNA from 1 species